UACAGAGGGGGCAAGCGUUAUUCGGAAUUAUUGGGCGUAAAGGGCGCGUAGGCGGCCUGACAAGUGGAAGGUGAAAUCCCUCGGCUCAACUGAGGAACAGCCCUCCAAACUGUUUGGCUUGAGACCGGGAGAGGUGAGUGGAAUUCCCAGUGUAGCGGUGAAAUGCGUAGAUAUUGGGAGGAACACCAGUGGCGAAGGCGGCUCACUGGACAGGUACUGACGCUGAGGCGCGAAAGCGUGGGGAGCAAACGGG
rnacentral:rRNA from 1 species